CUUUUUGAGUAAAGCUCUGCUGUAUAAACUCGUUUUAUUCUUAUAACAACUCCGAUUUAAUAUUUAUCGAAGCCAAUUAAUAUGAUAAAUUACAUUUGAGGGUUAAAAACGUAGUCAAUUAAGGUAACAUGAAUUGAUUGAAGGCUCUAAAUUAUAUCUAAUAUAUCAGGUAUGCCCCUAUGAAAUGAGACAUUUUUUAAACAAAUUGAAUGUUUAUUGUGAAAAAAUAAAUACAAAUUUAAUUUUAAAAGUAUGUGCAUUCACUAGUCACACAUCUUUCAGACAAUUUAUGUACGCCUUUCCAAAAAAAAAAGUUGUUUGUCUUUGGCUGCAAACCAACCAUCGAUCCAUUUUUUGGCUUCAGCGGGAAAAUCGAAGCGUGAAUCAUUGAGUGCGUGGCCCAUCUAUGCAAACAAGGGAUAUUCGGACGGCUCCAGGUCUGGUGAGUAAGCCACUUGAGAAUGAGGUUCCCAGUUGUACGAUUCAACAAGCUGGUGUGUGGCUAUAGAGCACUGCAGUGGUGCGUUGCCAUUUAAUUGAAUAAAACUAUUGAAACAAUGAUUUAAAUAUUGUUGACACAUGUCAAAAUGAGCAUUUAGAUUUUUGAUCUGCUUUAUAAUGUCUAACUGGUGACACCUAUGGACCAAUAGCCGAAUGUCUCAUUUCAUUGGCACAUACCUAGUACUUGAAUAUCUCAUUGCAUCCCACAAAUUAGAACAUAAAUCCCAUAAUGGACCAAUGGACUAUUAAAUAGGGGGGUGUUGACGGUUUCAACUGUUUUAGAUGAAUGAAGAUGUGUAAUCAUUUUAAUUUAUUUUAUGCAGGGACCCAUUUGGCAGUUAUUUCUUAUCCUAAAUAAAUAUCCAUUCUAAUUUCAUGUAAGAAUUUGCAUCAUACAAUGUAUGGUAAACCUACGCUUUACACUAUUAGAGAUCGUGUUUACCAUGGUGUUGAUAUACAAUAUAAAUAUUGGCUUAUGGGUAUGUCCAAAUGACCUAUAGCCAUAAGCUGGUUGUUUCUGGAUCAUUUUAACAUUGUGUGAGUUUGUUUUAGUUCCUGACCCGGAUAUGCUUUGAACUAGUUCUCCUCAUCCAUUAUGUCAAUACUUGGGCUUUCUGUGUUCUAUAAGCUUUCAAACCGAUUUGAAUCUCGAUUUCUGAAUUUAAAUGCAGGUUAAGUUGUUUCAACGCUAAGAUUGCUUAAACAAUGAUGUCACGACUCGGGCAUUGCACCGAGUAAAAAGUAAGCCUUUCACGAAAAGAAAAGUGUUCCAAGAACACGGCCAUGUCUUCAAAAACAUAUUUGUUUCCUUCCUUGCUUGCUACAUCAUAUAAAAGAUCACCAGAUGUAGGGAUCGCAGAUAACUUUCUAAAAAUGUCACUUAUCCCCUCAUAGGCCCCCAUAAUGGGUUAAGAAGAAAAUCUAAAAUCCUUGAAUUGCAGUUACGAGUCGAUAGUUGUGGCACUACCUCCAUGCGCUUAACUUCCGGAUUUCUAUCCGAAUAGCCAGUUGUUAAUCGACAUAAUCCGUUAAUGUAUAAAAUUCAUCAAAUUUUGAGUGUGUGUCAAAUGUCUUCACUGAUGAUGAUUUAAUUUAACGAUUUAUACGUCUUGACUCUUAAAGGGUAGAAACAGAAAGAGGUAAGAGAAGUAACAGAUGUCGUAGAGGUUUUUAGAUUCAGGUUGAGCAGAUUCUUAUUGUAAAAUUUUAGUGUCUGUUUCUAAGAUAGCUAGUAUAGAACGGAAUUACAAAUGUAUAGCGACGCUAUGAUAUAAAAUAUAAUUUUAUAAUAUUUUUCCCGUACGGAUACAACGUUUGUUGACAGACCAACGGAACUGUCAACGGCUUAAAAUAGCACAUGUAACCUGAAGAAAUACCUUGAGAGAGUGUACGGUAACCGUGUGCUCAUGGAUAAACGACCUCUCGCCAAUGGGUCGGUGGAAGAUGGUGUUGCAAGCGAAUUAAAACAAUAAAAGUUAAAUUUCUCCAGUCUAGUAGUGAAGAAGUCCAGGAGAAUUGAGAAGGCUGGUUGCUGAGUACAUCGUUGAGGAUGCGCUACAUGGCACUACAGUGGAGUCGCCGGUGCGGAAAAAACUUAUCAAGAAAAUCCCUGUUCGACCAAGUGACAAGAUAGUUCAUUUAAGAUGAGACACUAUAGGUGAUGUAAGUGGUGAUUCAAUGAUUAAAAAUGGUUUUAGUCUGUUAAGGGGAAUUCUAAUCUCAGAUUACUUUUAAGUUAAGUUAAACAUUAAAUAAUAGAAAUCGUAUGUUUUAUAAUGUGUGGUAACCUCACUAAAAAAUUAUGGAUAUAAAUAUAUAAACAAAUUUGCAUUCAUAGUCAGAACAUUAUUUUGGAUAUUUUCUUUCGAUUAAUCAGAACGACUUAUAUUGACAUCAAAAAUGCUCACUGUUCAAAAUUGAUUAGUGCAUGAUUUGAGUACACAAUGUUUGUACUGUCUUGCCUCCUGAUAUUUAGAGCGCCAAUAACAAAAGUAUCAUGGGAGUGACUAUUCAUUGCAUCGAUGUAGGUUCCUUAAAAAGACAAAAAGCAGCAAUAGUUAGUAAAAGAUUCAAGGGCAGAUACACAUACAAUGAAGUUGUAACAGAGCUGAAGGACAUCUUUUCCACAUAUGGACUUAACAACAAAGUGACUUCAUGUGUGACAGAUAAUGGAAGUAUCUUUGUGAAGGUGUUCAAGGAGUUUCAACAAGCACAACCUGAGUCUGAUGAUGAGCAGGAGGAAGAAGCUAGUAAGAUACAUUUACAUACCAGCUCAAUGUGCUCACCACCGCCACUGAUGUUGAUGAUGGUCAUAUCAUUUGUGAUCCGCCUCCCCACCAUAGAUAUAUAGCCCAUACACUAAAUCUAACUGCAACCAAUGAAGUUGAAUAACGGCUGGCAUCUAAUCCAGACUCAAUGUCUGUUUACCAUAGUUCUACAGGAUAAUGUGUAGCACUGGGGAUGAAGGCUAGCUGCUCUACUGUUGCAUCAUAAUACCUGGAAGAAUUCAGUGAAAAAAAGCUAAUCGUUCCCAUAGUAACUCGUUGUAACUCCUUCUACGUAUAAUUGAAAUGGCCCUUUUCAACAUCAAUAAGCUAUGCACAUAGCUUAACAUAAAUGCAUGAAUCACAGUUUCUCAAAGAAUACUGUUUGAUCAUGAAACCUUUCACAAUAGCACUUGACAUUUUGCAGGGUCAGGACACUUGUUUUUACAGUAAUGUGAAUACGCAGAACGUUUUAUAAAAAUAAGAAUAAAAUGCUACAAGCUUCAUACUAAUAAGGACAUUUCUUAUUGCUAUAACUGAAAUAUAUUUUUAUUUUACCAAAAUUUAUAUAAACGCAUUUGUUAUUCACGUUAUAAUUUCUAACCAUUUUCAUAUUUUAAGGUUCAGGCUCACAUUAUCUACUCCAAACAAGUUCGAAAAUAAAAUUAUUUUACUACUUUUUUAAGUUCCAAUUUGACUCAAGUAGUUGUGUUGACUAGUCUCAAAGCUAUUCAUUGAAUGCAAACUUUAAUUUAUAGGGAUAUAAUAUUGUCUAAACUGUAGCGAGUAUAAAUAUCACGCAUAAGAGAAUGACAUAAAUAAUAAGAUAAUUUUGAGGGACAACAUAUAUGUUGAUAAAUACCAUUAUAAACUAUAGUGCUUCUUGUUUCCUAAUACUUCAUAAUUUUUAAAAUAGGAUGGAACACCUAAUAGAAUAAUUCAUAUAUUUAGAGUUGUAGAAAAUAUGACCUACAGAUUUGGUGAAUAAAGAAACCAAAAAAAUGACAUGAUAAAUUUGGCAUUUUGAAGAAUGUUUAUUGAAAAGAAGUUUAGCUUUCAUGAAGUCUAAUUACAUUAGUCAUAACAUUAAGAAAACAUGAACAAAUCUCAGUCUGUAAUUACUAGGUCAUAGGCAGGAAUUAAUCCAAUAUUUAUCCUCAAUUCUAGUCUGAAUCCAACAAUGAUGUUUAUUUAUAACUUCCGCACAAAUCAUCAGUAUCUCUCUCCGUCUUUUACACACACUUUAUAUUUUCUCUCAUCAAUAAUGAAAACAGCUUAGAAAAUAUAUAAAAAAUACUACUCAGGUUGCAUCUACAAAAUAGAUGUCAUAUUUUCUACGACUUUAUAUAUAUUGCUCUUGCCAACAUAAAUUUAUUUUAAAAUUAUGCUCUUGCAAUUUAAAUAGUAUUCACAUCCCUACUAAUAUUUCACUAAAAACUUAACCG
rnacentral:lncRNA from 1 species